rnacentral:lncRNA from 1 species
GUUUUCUUCUAGGUUCAAACAAACACAAUGCCAUAGGUAUUACUGGAUCAGACAAAAUGUCUUAUUUAAUUUUAAUGGCAUCCAAAAGAAAUCUCAAAUUUGCAAACCAGAAACAGGCAGAGCUGCCUCUAUGCAGUUCAGUGGGAAGAGACUAUCCUGUGAAGAAGCUGAUUCUACUAAUCAAAAGGAAAAAUCUUUAGAUAUCAGACCAUUCUCUAAAUGCCCUUCCAUUGGUGAUUGCAGUUCGCACGAAGAAAAUGAUCAAACAGCGCCACUUACAGCAGCAGCAGAGUAGGAAAAAUUUGAAUAAUCAGCUGGGACCAGACUGGACUGCCUUGAGGUGGGGGAGACAUUGAGGAACCAGGAACAACAGCAAUUCAAGUAUGAAUCAAAGUAGUGAAGAAUGAACAAAAAAGAUUAGCAAUGUGAAUAUUGACAAACUUAUAAAGGAUUUUUCACAGAUAGAAAGGAAAAU